rnacentral:lncRNA from 1 species
AGGUAAGUACAGAGUUCAUUGUCAUUUUAUUAAAUUGAAUUGAGUGCUCUCAACCAAAAUUAAUAUUGAGAUGGAUGUUAUAAUACACAAUCUUAUUUUUAGAUCGUUUCCUGAAGAACUGUGGCUUUGGCUAUUGUAAUUUUUUUCAAAUUUAUAGAAACUGAACGAAAUGUAAGUUGAAAAUUGGAGAACGGAUCCAAAUAUGUGAUCAUUAUUUUAAGGCUUUUAAAGUAUUAAGAGUUAAUGCCAUCUUAAAC